CGACUCGGACUUUGCGGGAGUCGACUCGGCUCUCAGACACCGAAGUACCGGUCUUCUGUCUUUGGAGUUGAACUGCCUUGGAGUCGACUCGGACUUUGCGGGAGUCGACUCGGCUCUCAGACACGAAGUUGGCUCUCUGACUUUUAGCCUUGCAUUUCUCUGAGAGUCGACUCUUGCUUCCUUAGGAGUCGACCUGCCAACCGUCGGAGUCGACUCGAGUUCUUCGGGAGUCAACUCGGCUCUCAGAGUCCAAAAUGGCUUUUCUGUCUUUCUGUCUGUUACUCCAUGGAGUCGACUCGUACUUUGCUGGAGUCGACUCGGCAAACAUCGGGGUCGACUCGAAUUCUUUCGGAGUCGACUCGGUGACAGGUUCUGAGAUAUAUCUUUCUGUCCGGCUGUCUGUUCUCAGUCGGAGUCGACUCGUAAU
rnacentral:lncRNA from 1 species